GACGAACGCUGGCGGCGUGCUUAACACAUGCAAGUCGAACGGAAAGGCCCUGCUUGCAGGGUACUCGAGUGGCGAACGGGUGAGUAACACGUGGGCGAUCUGCCCUGCACUUCGGGAUAAGCCUGGGAAACUGGGUCUAAUACCGGAUAGGAGCCAUUUUUAGUGUGAUGGUUGGAAAGUUUUUUCGGUGUAGGAUGAGCUCGCGGCCUAUCAGCUUGUUGGUGGGGUAAUGGCCUACCAAGGCGGCGACGGGUAGCCGGCCUGAGAGGGUGGACGGCCACAUUGGGACUGAGAUACGGCCCAGACUCCUACGGGAGGCAGCAGUGGGGAAGAUUGCACAAUGGGCGCAAGCCUGAUGCAGCGACGCCGCGUGGGGGAUGACGGCCUUCGGGUUGUAAACUCCUUUCGCUAGGGACGAAGCUUUUUGUGACGGUACCUAGAGAAGAAGCACCGGCUAACUACGUG
rnacentral:rRNA from 1 species